rnacentral:rRNA from 1 species
UACGGAGGGUGCAAGCGUUGUCCGGAUUUAUUGGGUUUAAAGGGUGCGUAGGCGGCCCGGUAAGUCAGUGGUGAAAGCCUCCAGCUCAACUGGAGAACUGCCAUUGAUACUGCCGGGCUUGAGUACAGACGAGGUUGGCGGAAUUGAUUGUGUAGCGGUGAAAUGCAUAGAUACAAUCAAGAACUCCGAUUGCGUAAGCAGCUAACUAGGCUGUAACUGACGCUGAGGCACGAAAGCGUGGGGAGCGAACAGG